GUGGGGAAUCUUGCGCAAUGGGCGAAAGCCUGACGCAGCCAUGCCGCGUGAAUGAUGAAGGUCUUAGGAUUGUAAAAUUCUUUCACCGGGGACGAUAAUGACGGUACCCGGAGAAGAAGCCCCGGCUAACUUCGUGCCAGCAGCCGCGGUAAUACGAAGGGGGCUAGCGUUGCUCGGAAUUACUGGGCGUAAAGGGCGCGUAGGCGGAUCGUUAAGUCAGGGGUGAAAACCCAGAGCUCAACUCUGGAACUGCCCUUGAUACUGGCGAUCUUGAGUGUGAGAGAGGUAUGUGGAACUCCGAGUGUAGAGGUGAAAUUCGUAGAUAUUCGGAAGAACACCAGUGGCGAAGGCGACAUACUGGCUCAUUACUGACGCUGAGGCGCGAAAGCGUGGGGAGCAAACAGGAUUAGAUACCCUGGUAGUCC
rnacentral:rRNA from 1 species